rnacentral:tRNA from 1 species
GGCCCCAUCGUCUAGCCCGGUCAGGACACAAGGUUUUCAUCCUUGUAGCAGGGGUUCAAAUCCCCUUGGGGUCACCA